UCAUGUGAAAUUUUCCCAGCUACAACUUUGCCGAAGACCAUUAUUGAUUCAUUAGGUCGUAUGAAUAAAACCGAGUACUUGCUCAUACUCAACCCGACUUGAGAAAAGUAAAGUCUCUGAGCAUUUACUCAAAACCGUAUGAAUAAAACGGUACUUUGCUCAGAGUAAGUUCGAAUUUCGAACUUAGCUUUUACUCUGUCAAAAUUUUUGUUUUUGUUUUGGCUAUCCGAUUUUUGCGCAGCAGCCAACAGUUCCUUUGAAGAUCUCAAGCAUAAAUUUUGCUUGAGAAAGAAAUCAACCGCCUGUGCCGGCUUCUGAUGAACUCACACACCCCGGCGAAGCUAUUCAAUCACGUCUGCCGGGAAUAAGUCAGUGAGCGCAAGAAACUGCAACCAUCGUGUGCCGCCUGCAAAGACUGCAUUUGAUACAUGAAGGAUGUUGCUGCAGUUUUUCUCAUGUGACGGCUGCCGGUUCGUCCACAAAGAUCUUACCAAUCAAACGGUGACCGUACCCUCCCAGAACAAGCUAAAUUCCACUGAACGAUAACGUCGAGCUUAGUUCCUGUAGGGUCGAUAUGUAACAGCACCAGGAUUAUCGUAAGAAUGAAGUUAAACCGGCAGCAUCUUCAUUAACAACCAACCAGCAUUAGCAGCAUCAGCAACAAAAGGAAAUUGCAUUGAAUCCAACACGUCUGUGUGUUAUAUGUUAAUUCAAGAUGCCACAGGUGACCGGAUUGGCACUAGUGAAUGAGAAACUAUAGGACUAGGGAAGUGCAUCGUAGUUAACGCAGGCAUUGGAAACAAGAUUGAAAUUUAAAGAAAUAAACGUCGUUACGAAAAUUAA
rnacentral:lncRNA from 11 species